AGAGCCUUUCUGCCUAAGUUUCUGGGCUGUGAGAUGUACCACAUCCAAGCCCACUCCAAGACUGGCUUUGCUGCCAAAAGCGCACUCGAUCAAAUCCCUGCACUCCAGGGGCUUAUUCAGGCUCAGCCACAGACUGAUAGCUGACCAACCCCUGGAGAACUGAGAAAUACACAUUUGGAAGACACUUGGAGUCUGUGUUGAGAAAGCAGACAGAAAGGUUGCCGGGCAAUUGGGAAACAAGCCGAUAGGAGCCCUGUGGAUUGAAGACUGAGGUACACUUGGAGAUCUUCAUUUCCUGGGAUGCAUCAGUGUUAUGUAGAGCUUAAUUAUGGCUAACCCUGGGAGAAAAUAGUCUGAAGGUUUUCCUUCAAGAGAGACUAACUCAGCAUGAAGCCCUGCCCUUCAGAGUCUCCCAUCUUCUUCCAUUAGAAAGUGGGGAUUCUCCAUGAGCAAAAGCUUCCUGAAGAUACACAAGGUAUGUAGACACAUCACCCCAAGGGCCAGUCCAUUUACAGAAGGAAAGAACUGUGUGAGGCUGAGAUGCCCAGUAUCUUUCGAACAUGCAGGUUAGACAAAUGAUUCUCUUGCAGAGACCGACCAUAUGGAUUGAUUUAGCACCAUUUCACCGGCUACCUAGAGACAUAACUUGAGUCAUCAUGUAUAAAUUACUGAACUCUCCACUGCAAAAAGGAAAAAACUGUUUUCUUGCACAGCAGUAGCAAUUAAUGUGCAAUGUGUUUAUGGAGCUUAAUAAUACAUGGCCCAGCACCCAUUUCUGUAUGCAAUACCAUUAUCGAGAGAGAGAAAGAGAGAGAGAGAGACUGAGCUGGUGUCAUCGGCAUACAAGACGUGGAUGAUGGAUUCAUCGAUGACUGAGCCUGGCCUUAUUACAGCAAACAAAUUAGACACCGUGGAAUCUAUUGCCAUAUAGACAGGACUUUCUUCUCUUCAAAUAUAUGUCAUAAUUAAUAGCGGUAACCUUUUGGUAACACUGAAAAACAACUUGCAAUUAAUGGCCCCUCUCUUCCUUUAGGGCCUACACACAUAAGUGGUUGUUCAAGGCUUGGCCCAGCUCAGUGGAGGGGAGCAAGUUCUAGAUACCCUCUAACUGAGAAAGUGGAAAGUGGCGGCCAGUAAGGUCAAUCACUUCUUUACCUUUCUCAUAUUUCAUGCCAGAGUAAGGCAGAAAGGAAAGUCGUGAGUCGCCCACAACUAAUUUUCCAGCCACUUCUCUCUGCCAGGCAUUGUUCUAGGCACUGGGGACAGAGCAAAGAACAAGACAAAAGGACACUGCCCCCCCCCAUCUCUGUGAGUAGGGAAUGACAUCAGACAUGUAAACAAAUAAAUACUUUUAAAAUUCUGAUAUGUAGCACGCUGAAGAUAAGAU